rnacentral:rRNA from 1 species
UACGAAGGGGGCUAGCGUUGCUCGGAAUCACUGGGCGUAAAGCGCACGUAGGCGGAUGUGUCAGUCAGGGGUGAAAUCCCGGAGCUCAACUUCGGAACUGCCUUUGAUACAGCACGUCUUGAGUCCGGAAGAGGUGGGUGGAAUUCCUAGUGUAGGGGUGAAAUCCGUAGAUAUGGGAAGGAAUACCAAUGGCGAAGGCAGACUUCUGGCUCGUAACUGACACUGAGAUUCGAAAGCGUGGGUAGCAAACAGG